GAGUUUGAUCGUGGCUCAGGACGAACGCUGGCGGCGCGCCUAACACAUGCAAGUCGAACGGACGAAGAGGUGCUUGCACCUCUGAGUUAGUGGCGGACGGGUGAGUAACACGUGAGCAACCUGCCUUACAGAGGGGGAUAACGUCCUGAAAAGGACGCUAAUACCGCAUAAAGUCAAGAUGUGGCAUCGCAUCAUGACCAAAGGAGCAAUCCGCUGAAAGAUGGGCUCGCGUCUGAUUAGCUAGUUGGAGUGGUAACGGCACACCAAGGCGACGAUCAGUAGCCGGACUGAGAGGUUGAACGGCCACAUUGGGACUGAGACACGGCCCAGACUCCUACGGGAGGCAGCAGUGGGGAAUAUUGGGCAAUGGGGGAAACCCUGACCCAGCGACGCCGCGUGAGGGAUGAAGGUUUUCGGAUUGUAAACCUCUGUCUUCGGGGACGAAAAAUGACGGUACCCGAGGAGGAAGCCACGGCUAACUACGUGCCAGCCGCCGCGGU
rnacentral:rRNA from 1 species